rnacentral:tRNA from 1 species
ACCUGGCUGGCUCAGUCAGAAGAGUGCAUGGCUCUGGAUUUCGGAGUUGUGGGUUCAAGCCCCAUGCUGGGUA